UACGUAGGGUGCAAGCGUUAAUCGGAAUUACUGGGCGUAAAGCGUGCGCAGGCGGUUUUAUAAGGCAGAGGGGAAAUCCCCGGGCUCAACCUGGGAACUGCAUUUGUGACUGUAGAGCUGGAGUGCGGCAGAGGGGGAUGGAAUUCCGCGUGUAGCAGUGAAAUGCGUAGAUAUGCGGAGGAACACCGAUGGCGAAGGCAAUCCCCUGGGCCUGCACUGACGCUCAUGCACGAAAGCGUGGGGAGCAAACAGG
rnacentral:rRNA from 1 species